rnacentral:misc_RNA from 1 species
AAAAAAAAAAAAAAAAGCAUUUUGGUUCUUAUUUAUUUGGGUAGUUUGUCCAAGGGUUUUGAUGUCCCUACUAUGCGCCACAGACAAUAUAAACAAGGGAAAAUUACUAUCUAGUUCUUGCAUUUUAACGAAAUCAACUAUUUGAUCCCUAUAUUUUAGAAAAUAUAUUAUUUAGUCCCUAUAUUUUGCUUCUGUUAAACUAUUUAGUCCCUCUGUCAAAUUCUUUUUGUUAGUCAAUGUUUGUCAAACUAUAAUUUUGUCCCUCUAUUUUAGUAAAAGUAAUUAAUUGGUCUUUAUAUUCUGAAAAAUACUGCUAUGUAGUCCCUCUAUUUUAGUGAAACUAAUUAGUUAGUCCUGACAUUUUGAAAACAUAAUAUUUUGAAAAAUAU